rnacentral:snRNA from 1 species
UUCGCCUUUUACUAAAGAAUUCCGUGGAGAGGAGCAGUUCAAUGAGUCUUGAUCAUUUUUCGAUAUCCGACUUUGGUCGGUUU